GUUUAUUUUGUAUUACAUUAUUAUUUAUGCAUAGUAAAUAACUUCUUACUCCAGCAACAAAGGGUAUGUAACAGCUACAUUUAUAGUGCAAUCUAUAUAAUCCCAGUGAAUCUGAACACCUUUUAUGUACAAGCUCUACGCAGAUCAUAAGUUGUUACUGCACAUUUUCAUGUUUAUUUUUUGUUGUAAAUGUAUUAUUACAGUGUGAUUUUUUUGCUACUAUGAAAUGUACUGAGAUAUUUCUGAACAAACAGCAUAUACACAAAUUAUGACUUGUUAUGAGUAUUCGGAAAAGACUGGAAUUCAUGUUGGUGCAAUCUGUGUGUUGGGGGGACGGGGACUAAAUAUGAUUAAAUGGAUGCACUGUAUGAUGAUAACACUGCACUGUUAAUAUAUGACAUUAAGUGCUUCUCGAGUUACCAGUAUUCACUGAUAAAUAUUUUAUGUGCUGGAAGUUCAAGUACUCGUCAGUUACGCCUCUUUAGAAUUUUGAUGAGCCAUGGUCUAGAUGUCUCCCUGGCAGCAAAGCUUUAGAGUGGAUCUGUCACAUUUUCUGAAGCAAAUAUAGUUUUUAUUUCCUUU